rnacentral:tRNA from 1 species
GUCAGGAUAGCUCACCUGGAACAGCAGAA